AGUGAACGCUGGCGGUAGGCCUAACACAUGCAAGUCGAACGGCAGCACAGUAAGAGCUUGCUCUUACGGGUGGCGAGUGGCGGACGGGUGAGGAAUACAUCGGAAUCUACUUUUUCGUGGGGGAUAACGUAGGGAAACUUACGCUAAUACCGCAUACGACCUACGGGUGAAAGCAGGGGAUCUUCGGACCUUGCGCGAUUGAAUGAGCCGAUGUCGGAUUAGCUAGUUGGCGGGGUAAAGGCCCACCAAGGCGACGAUCCGUAGCUGGUCUGAGAGGAUGAUCAGCCACACUGGAACUGAGACACGGUCCAGACUCCUACGGGAGGCAGCAGUGGGGAAUAUUGGACAAUGGGCGCAAGCCUGAUCCAGCCAUACCGCGUGGGUGAAGAAGGCCUUCGGGUUGUAAAGCCCUUUCGUUGGGAAAGAAAAGCAGCAGGUUAAUACCCCGCUGUUCUGACGGUACCAAAAGAAUAAGCACCGGCUAACUUCGUG
rnacentral:rRNA from 1 species